AACGAACGCUGGCGGCAUGCUUAACACAUGCAAGUCGAACGGGACCUUCGGGUCUAUUUGCGCUCGGGUGCGUAACGCGUGGGAACCUGCCCUUAGGUUCGGAAUAACUCCCCGUAAGGGGUGCUAAUACCGGAUAAUGUCUUCCUACCAAAGAUUUCCCGCUUUUGGAUGGGUCCGCGUUGGAUUAGCUAGUUGGUAGGGUAAAAGCCUACCAAGGCGACGAUCCAUAGCUGGUCUGAGAGGAUGAUCAGCCACACUGGGACUGAGACACGGCCCAGACUCGUACGGGAAGGAGCAGUAGGGAAUAUUGGACAAGGGGCGAAAGCCUGAUACAGCAAUGCCGCGUGAGUGAUGAAGGGCUUAGGAUUGUAAAGCUCUUUUACCCGGGAUGAUAAUGACAGUACCGGGAGAAUAAGCUCCGGCUAACUCCGUG
rnacentral:rRNA from 1 species